rnacentral:rRNA from 1 species
GAUGAACGCUGGCGGCGUGCCUAAUACAUGCAAGUCGAGCGAACGGACGAGAAGCUUGCUUCUCUGAUGUUAGCGGCGGACGGGUGAGUAACACGUGGAUAACCUACCUAUAAGACUGGGAUAACUUCGGGAAACUGGAGCUAAUACCGGAUAAUAUUUUGAACCGCAUGGUUCAAAAGUGAAAGACGGUCUUGCUGUCACUUAUAGAUGGAUCCGCGCUGCAUUAGCUAGUUGGUAAGGUAACGGCUUACCAAGGCAACGAUGCAUAGCCGACCUGAGAGGGUGAUCGGCCACACUGGAACUGAGACACGGUCCAGACUCCUGCGGGAGGCAGCAGUAGGGAAUCUUCCGCAAUGGGCGAAAGCCUGACGGAGCAACGCCGCGUGAGUGAUGAAGGUCUUCGGAUCGUAAAACUCUGUUAUUAGGGAAGAACAUAUGUGUAAGUAACUGUGCACAUCUUGACGGUACCUAAUCAGAAAGCCACGGCUAACUACGUG